GACAGAGGGUGCAAACGUUGUUCGGAAUUACUGGGCGUAAAGCGCGCGUAGGCGGCCACUUAAGUCGGAUGUGAAAGCCCCUGGCUCAACUGGGGAAGUGCACCCGAAACUGAGCGGCUUGAAUGCAAAAGAGGGUCGCGGAAUUCCUGGUGUAGCGGUGAAAUGCGCAGAUAUCAGGAAGAACACCCGUGGCGAAGGCGGUUCUCUAGUAAGGUACUGACGCUGAGACGCGAAAGCGUGGGGAGCGAACAGG
rnacentral:rRNA from 1 species